UCGAUAGCUCAGUUGGUAGAGCAUGGGGCUCUUGAUCUCAGGGUUAUGGGUCUGAGUUCCACGCUGAGCAAAA